GACGAAGGUGGCGAGCGUUGUUCGGAAUCACUGGGCCUAAAGCGCACGUAGGCGGUGCCGUAAGUCGGAUGUGAAAUCCCUCGGCCUAACCGAGGAACUGCGUCCGAUACUGCGGUGCUUGAGGAUCAGAGGGGUGCAUGGAAUUUCCGGUGGAGCGGUGAAAUGCGUUGAUAUCGGAAGGAACCCCGGCGGCGAAAGCGAUGCACUGGCUGAUUUCUGACGCUGAGGUGCGAAAGCCAGGGGAGCAAACGGG
rnacentral:rRNA from 1 species